rnacentral:lncRNA from 1 species
CUAUUUGGUAACUCAUCUCCCAACAGCCUUAUUUGGUCACUACUUUCAUCAGCCUAUCAGAAUAUUGUUUGACAAAUUCUGAGUCUUUCAUCUUCAAGGUUUCAUAUUCCCUUCUUAAAUUUAAAACUUGCAUUCGCCAUGUUCUUGCAUUACCUCUAAACUUAUCUUGCAAUCUAUCCGAAGCCUCCUUUGCUAUCUUACAAGGAAUAAUCCUGGUGAAUACUGCAUCAAAAUGGUAGAUUGGAUGCAGGACAAUGUGUUGAACUUCUUUGCAACCUCCUCACCGUGUUGCUUCAACUGAGAAUAGUAGAAUUUUCCCUUAGAGGAGAUGGUUCAAUACCUGAUUCCAUGGUAUCCCAUAGAUCAUAUGCUUCUAUGUAAGCCUUCAUUUUUGCAGCCCAAAAAUCAUAGAGCUGAAAAACCAAUUGAAGCCAUCACUCUCAGAUCUAAUUUUUUGCUGAAAUGGUGAAAGUGUUUUGGUGAAGCUUUCCUCACUUGUUUUCUCUCUUUUUUCUAUCUUUUUUUCUUUUAUUUUUCUU